rnacentral:rRNA from 1 species
CCUACGGGAGGCAGCAGUGAGGAAUAUUGGUCAAUGGGCGGGAGCCUGAACCAGCCAAGUCGCGUGAGGGACGACGGUCCUAUGGAUUGUAAACCUCUUUUGUCGGGGAACAAAGGCGCCCACGGGUGGGCGGAUGAGUGUACCCGAAGAAAAAGCAUCGGCUAACUCCGUGCCAGCAGCCGCGGUAAUACGGAGGAUGCGAGCGUUAUCCGGAUUUAUUGGGUUUAAAGGGUGCGUAGGCGGACAGUCAAGUCAGCGGUAAAAAUGCGGUGCUCAACGCCGUACAGCCGUUGAAACUGGCAGUCUUGAGUGGGCGAGAAGUAUGCGGAAUGCGUGGUGUAGCGGUGAAAUGCAUAGAUAUCACGCAGAACUCCGAUUGCGAAGGCAGCAUACCGGCGCCCGACUGACGCUGAGGCACGAAAGCGUGGGUAUCGAACAGGAUUAGAUACCCCAGUAGUC